AAUCUGGCCGAAGCUGGUGUCGGCCCGCACCAGGAACUGCACCAUCACGUCCACUUUUUUGAUGUGCAUCGUUCCGAUGCCACUGUCCGAGUAGUUGCCGUCAGUUUUGCGAACAGUUUGCACCGCUUGGAGAAGAUGCUGUCCUUAUACUUGACCGGCGUGAACUCCACCUUGGAUGAAGCCCGUUCCGGGCGUGGAACUUGUCGAGCCAAACCAGUAGCUGAAUGGUUUGGCUGGCUGUCGUCGUCGUGUUUGUUGUGUUGGCGUGACGCUUCCAAACAUGAAUCCGCUGGUGACCGGCUUUGCGGCCGUUGACUCCUUUGUGUCCAUUUUCCUGCUACUCUGCUUGGCCUCGAUCUCAUCAAGAUACUAUUCGUGAUCCUUGAAGAUCGGAUUCUGAAUUGAACUUCCCCGAAAACCCAGCGGCCACGGCCACAUUGAGCGCCUUCGCGUUAACUGCAUUUUCCUCAUCCCCGGUGUCCUUGCCGGCGGAGUCUACUGUGUUUUUCAUUGGCGGGCUUACAACCCCGGGAAAGACCUUCUUGCUCGAGUCGGUCGUAGCAAAGAUGCUGGCUCCCAGCGUGACGACGUGGCCGCCGUCCUAUUCGUAGGUUUCGCAGUUCCACUGAGAUGCGAAAAUGGACUGGCUCCUCGGUAGGCUUCACCGCCGGUGGUGACGUCACCCCGGCGAAUCCUUUGAACGCACCAAACACCGACGACAAUCCACCGCUGCCCGCAGAAUCUGUGCCGGCGAAUCCAUUUGACUCCGUAAUGACGCGUUUUUUCGGUUGCUCCUCGGACGUCUGAGCAAAUCGGCUCACCACCCGAUGGAACUUUUGUGGCUUCUGCGAAAAAAAAUGUUUUUGUUUUGUGUUUUUGACAUUUCUUCAUCAGACCAAGAUAAUGAUAGAAGGUGGGAACCGUUAGUUGAUUAGCAUCACACUAAUUGAUUAGCUGAUAAUUUCUAAUCAAUUAGUCGAUUAUUUUAAUUGAUUAGAGCAUGUGUCCUGCCCCUCGGUCGACCCGGUCACGGAAAUUUCUAGCAGAGUUGGUUCUGCUAGAACCCUGCUAGAAUUAUUCUAGCAGGCCUGCCGGAAUCCUCUAAGAAUUUUACCGGAAAAUUCUCACAGAGCGAAAUCUGUAAGAAUUUUGUUAGAAUUUUGCUAGAAAACUCUUACAGGGCGAAAUCUGUCAGAUUUCUGUUAGAAUUUUGCUAGAAUGUUCUAGCAGGAAAAAUAUCUGUCGAAAAUGACGUCAUUUUCGCAAACCUCGUGGUUGAUCGUGUUUUCACCGGUCAUCUUUCUUCUCUUUCUUUCUUUCGGAGGUUUUUUUCUAAAAGACGGACGGUUUUUUUUUUUCGUGCCUCAUUAUUCUGGAACAAGGUUUUCGAUGGUGUUGCGUUGCAAGCAGGAAAAUGGCCUUCAUUCGAGAAAACCAGAUAGACCGCUAGGAAGAGGAAAAAUAUGAAGCUGUGGUGUGAUGAAAUGAAAAAAUGACUACACACAAAAAAAUAUUAUGGUAAUGACAAAAGUAACUUACUUUUGAAUUAAUAUGUGGUUAAAAUUUGCUACAUUAAAAGUUUUUUUCUUGUUUUGAAAAUGAAAACUUUUACUGCUACAGUUUUUGAAAAUCUCAUUGCUCACUGAUUUAAAAGUUUUUCCUUUUAAUUCGACUGUAAAAUUUCUUUAAUUUUGACGUUCUCGUGUAACCGUGUACGACUAAGUCGCAAAUGUAACCAAACACUUUGGUGGGUCCGGUGGUGCUGGUGAGUCUAGGACGCAAAGCAAAGCCGACCGCGGCAGCAGCCAGGACUCGGACGCGGAAACCUUUGUGAGCCAAACAGCAGCAGCGGAACUCCUUCGAAGGAGGGUGGUGCAGGAGCGGGACGAUGUUGAGUGCUCAAAAAGAACAAGGCCAGCUUCCUGCUGGAACUGCAGCUGUUCCACGGCCGGAAUGCGAUGAGAGGUAGGAAUGUGGAUUCGCACCGGUUGUAUUCGGUGGUGGUGGCCCGGGAUUGGUGAUUGAAGGUCAAUUCCCGCGAGGACUGGGGAGAGAUCAUCGAGGAGAUGGCGCUGCCGAAGCGUUGCGUGAACAACGAGAUUGCGAUGAAGAAGAUUAACUUCCCUUGUAACUUCCGGUUUUUGGACAAGUACGGGAAAGUUUAUUUUCACGGUGAGGAGAAGGAUCCGACGAAGAGGAGGACGACGAAAAGCUACAUAAUCGGAGGUGGUCAGCGCAGAUGUUGCACGCGGUGCCGGCGGUUUACAACACCGCAACAUCCCGCCCACAAACACUCACCUCGCGACGGCGCAGCUUCAGCCGAAUGAACCAGGACAGUGAGCCAAAAAAAAAUCUGUGUCAUACCCGAAGUAACGUGCUCAAAAUCGAAUUCCGUUCCGAGGGCCUCAUCAACUCCCUGUUUCGGAUGCGCUUCCAGUAUCGGGAACUCCCCGUUCAGGCACUUUAGUUCCGAGCCGGAAAACGUCGAUCACCCUUCCCGAAUCAACGGCCAACUCAUCCAAGACUAUCCUGAUUGAGGCCGGAAACGUGACCAUCGUGUAAAACUGCUGACGCGCGUCGGAAUCUCCAUCCGGAACCGUCCUGGGGUAUUCGGAAGUGACCGGUGGCGUACCGUAUGAAUCGGUACAGCUUGGACUCGAAUAUUGGCCUACAUUGAGCUGAAGCUAGUGGAGAAGCGUUAAAUACAAUAAAAAAUGUUUUUUUAAACAUGCAGUUUAAUUUUUUUUUAAAUAAAUGUAAAAAAACCAAGCACAUUUUUCUGAAAUUAUCCCUGUAGUGCUAAAUGUUGUGUAUUCUUGCCAUAAAAGGUUUCUUUUCCAAUUAAAAGUAAAAUACUUUUACCAAUACAACGAUUUUGAUCCAUAAAUGCAUAGUACAGCCAUCCCUCAUAUUCGGAACAGUUUACAGAUCGGCCAAUGUUCAACAAAUCAUAUAAAAUCGAUAAUUGAUUAUAAUGAUUUGCUUUUACCUUCAUGUGAAAGCUUUUCUUGCGAUCUUUCGAUUGAUGUAUAGACCGGCUGUUCAUUUUUACGUUUGAUAUCAAGUUUUCAAAGAAAAACAUUGACCCUUGAAAUCCACAAAUUCGGAACACUUUUAUCUUACGAUGUAAACAAACUUUUUUUUCUCUCCAGGAGUACAUAUUUUUAACAAAAUAAUGACUUUGCACUCUGAAACCAACGAAACUCAUGUUUAGUAAUGUUUUAUGAAUGGCCUGAUAACUUUUUUGUGAAAAUAUCAGUUAAAUGCAGGUGUUCCACAAUUGUGGAAGACACAAUAACAUCCCACAAUCAUGGAACAGGCAAUUUGGAGGCAGUGUUUUGGUGCUCUGGAUAAAAUAGUCUUGAAAUGCAGUUUUUGUUUAACAAGUAUUACUUUUACUAGUGAAAUAGCAAGAGAAUGUCCAAAUAGAGGCCCUAAAAAUAGCAGGGUCGGCAGAAAAGUUGCAUUUUGCUUUCUAUUGACAAAUUACCACAAAAGUGUUCCGAAUUUGUGGGUGUUCCGAAUAUGUGGGAUGACUGUAGUAUCAAAAACUUUCCAACUUUUAAAUUGAAAAGUUUGAACUUUCUACGAAUAUUCACCAACGCGAACUUUUAAUCCAACGAACGAUCUUUUUAAAUUUAGAGUAAUUUUUCUUUGAGUGUAGUGUACAUAUCUUGACUUUUUUUUGAUAAGGUCCUAUAAACAAAUGUAAACAUUGAGUGUAUCCCGCUUACUCCGAUGGACUUUGACAUAAGGUGUGAAAGGGAUACACUCAAUGUUUACAUUUGUUUAUAGGACCUUAUCAAAAAAAAGUCAAGAUAUGUAAAUAAUAAAAUAAAUGUUAACUAAGUUAUGUACAGUUAUUGUUUUAUUUUACUACAACAAUUCUAGCAGAAAAUAAAUCUGACAUAUUCUAGCAAAAUUCUAGCAGGAUUCUAGAAAAAAUGCUCUCCGCUCCAUUCCAGCAAAAUUCUUACAGAAUUCUAGCAGGAGGCCUGUCAGAAUAGUUCUAGCAAAAUUCUAGCAGGAUUCUAACAUAACCGUUUGAUAUCGCCGCUUCUGCUAGAACCGGUUAUUGCAUUUGAGCUAGAAUUCUUUGAGAAUUCUCGCAAAGUUCUAGCGCGAUGAUGGCAUAGUUCUAGUAAGAAUAUUUUCGCCCUGCUAGAAUUCUAUAAGAAUCCUGUGAGAACGCCGUGACUGGGGAACUGGCACCCAGAUACGAGAUUUUCUUACAGAAUUGGUUCUGUAAGAAUCCUGCUAGAAUGAUUCUAGCAGCACUGUCAGAAUUCUGUAAGAAUUUUGCAAGAAUUUUCUAAUAGAAAAAUACUGCUCACUGAUUGGUUGGCGUUAACCGGUUCAAAUCAUGUUUGAACAAGAUUAAUUUUCACUCGUUUUUUUAAUGUUGACCACGUUUUUUCGCGAGAAAAAACCUCCGCGCUGCAAAUUGCCAGGCCGUCGGAAAUCGAAACUUAUCUGGCAGAUUAAAACACUAUCGUUAGGUAAGCCAUCACUCCCACUAUUCCGGCAUAAGUUGCGAAUAUAUUUUUUAGGCAUAAUAAAACUCAACCUCUUCCUCAAUUUUUCCGCUCUUUACAGGCAUGGCUCUGCAGUUAUGGCGACAUCCAGACCUCGGAUCUGGAGUCCGGAUUAUCUCUUCGGCUUCUUGGCCGCGACAUCGUCUUGUAAUAGUCCCAACCCGGGUUACUUGGAAAUAUUGGCAAUGAAAAGCAGAGGAGUGUUGUCGAAGAAUCAACAGCCGCCUCCUACACCGAUAGUGAUGUGACUUAUUAGACCAGAAAACGAGUUAGGUUGUGAUAAACAUAGAAAUAAAUUUUGUUCGAAAUUAAAUUUUAUUUUGCUUCAAUUUAUCCAACACCCAGAUCGAAAGUCCGUAAACCCACGAUGUUUUGUAAGGCAACGAUGUUUUUUGAAAAUUUCGAUGAACUGUAUGCAGCGCGUUAGAGUGAAAGAGAAAGCAUGCUUUGUGUUUUCAUCGAAGUUUCGCUAAGCAUGCUAUCUCGCUCCUUCAUGUUUGCGAAUUUUUCGGCAGUUCUGUCAAACGAAAAAAAAAACGUGGCGUGCAUGUUUUUUCCUUCGCGAAACUUUGGCGUUUAGUCAACUUUUCUGGGCUUGUUCCGGGUUGUAGGUGGAAUCGGCAGUCCAAGUAGUUUGUAUUGUUUUGUUUGCUGUAAAAUUAAACUUCUUUGAAUUCUCUAUUUCAGGGCAUUUGCAAAUCUCCGGUGAUUCCGGGUUUCCCGCCCUGCAAGUACCCUUGGAAAAACGCUGUACGGAACAGGUUCGAAGGAAGAUUUUGGCACUACAAGAGUGCUCUCAGAGCGAUUGCGGUUGCUGCCCACCAAGCGGGCCCGGGCCCCAACAGCAGCAAGCUCCGUUACGACGCAGUUCCGUACGCAGAUGCCACCGUACUAUGGCAGCGGAGGCGCAGGUGGAAGUUCCGGAUCGCCACAGCCUCCAUCGGACGGUUCACCUUCGUCGGGACCGAUGAACGACGACCGGGACAAUCGUGGAAUGCGAAACAGUGUUGGCGGAGGCGGAUACAACAGGUUGCUACCAGAUUUCGUCUCAGGCGGCAACAGUACGAAUCAUCAGCAAUCACAUGGACCAAACUAUUUGCCGACGCAUUGGUGUGGCAAAUACCGUGACGAGGCUGUCGCGAACAAAUGUAACCUCCAAGGUUGGCCACCCGGCAGCACCAGCACCAGGAUCACGACUAUCACCGGCGGGACUUUUCGUCGGCGGCGGCUUCGUUCAUAGAGCCGGAGAUUGUCGUUCAGCGGCCAACCAUCGACCGUCAGUCAACCGCCAUCGCCCUCUCCAAAGAAUGGCCACGCCUGCGUCGGAGGUCUUGAACUGGACGUCGAGGCCAAGGAACGUCUCGAGUUGCGUCGUGAGGACCAGCGAAGGGAACGCAAGCAGGCCGCUGCCAGGAAACUGAAGAAGUUGGAGCAGCAGCUGAAGACUAAGAAGGGUGUAAACGGAGCAGCAGGGUGACGGCAAGAGUGGUACGGUCCGCGGUUCAUCCACACCCAGCAAUGGGCAAAGGUCAAGCAACGUCGGGGAAUGGAUCAUGGCGAACGGGACGAUCGUGACCGCAGUGCCAUGGUCCCACGCGAUUUUAUGAUGAAGCGUCGCAUUAACUCCAGUCUUUUUCAAUAUUCCGCUUCCGACUAGGUAUUGGCUGGUCUGAUCCGCAGGGAAAUCGGUCGGAUGAUGACGACGAAGAGGAUUAACAAAAGCAACCGGUAGCAGCGGAUCCGGUGCUGCUCGAGCACAGGUACAAACAGUAAUUUCUAAAACCUCUUUACCCAAUCUAAAUAUCCCCUUUUUCAGGUCAAAUAAUUCGAACGUCAACACCAGGAAGCAGGGAAACGGAAGUCAGUUUUGGAGUUCCGCCACCACCGUUGAGCCACACGGAGCGACGUAGAUCGAUCAACCAAACAACUUCCAUCGGGCCAGAGUGCCGAAGGUGACGCACCGUCCACGAAAAUUGAGCUCAGGGAAUGUAGAAGCUGCUUAGCUGAGUGGUUCCGGUGAAUUUGCCGAACGCCGCGGCCUCUUGGCUUGCCAGAUACGCAGGCCGUGAACCGGCGCAUGACCGUCGAGAGAAAAAUCAAGAAAAGCGGCAGUGCCCAAUACGAGCCAGCAGGAACUUUCAAAAAAACGGACAACCCCCGAAAUGCCGAAAAUCUGGAAUUGCCACGCGGGACGGCCAUGGUUCAAGAAGUUCCCUCGAGAGACGCAGCAAGGAGCAGGCUAGCCGGAUUGUCGCCACCCUGCAAGUUCAAUCAGAACGGAACAGAUAGCUCGGAACGCGCUAGUAUCGCCCUACAACUGUCCUCGGAACGGUGGAUUCAGUGCUGGACUUACGCGCCAGGCCAAGAUCAACCGGAACCGGUUCAUGUUCCCGGCCAAUUCUUGUUAUAAUUUAGGUUCUUGCAAUCUGAAACUGCCACGUGCAACGGACAUGGCCCUACAAGUUCUCUCGAAAAGAAGCAGCAUAAAAUAGGCUCGCGGAACGGUCGCCGUUCUGCAAAUGCCCAUAGAAGAAAGAAGCAUGGAAUGGGCUCGAUGGACUGUUGCCAAACUGUAAGUGCCCUCGGAACUACGCUGGAAAGAACAUGGCCGCUGGAACGACCAUGGCCCUGAAAGUUCCCUCAGAAUGGCACUGGCAUAUACCUGGAAUUACCACGCGGAACGGCCGUGGUUUUCAAGGUUCCCCCGAAAAGAGUCAGCACGGAACAGGUUUGCCAGGCGGUCGCAAUCCUACAAGUGCCCUCGGAAUGGGCUCGAUGUACGGUUAUGGCCCUGCCAGCUUCCUCGGAACGUCGCUGCAUGAAUCAGGCUUGGCGGACGGUUGCCACCCUGCAAGUGACCUCGAAACCUCGGAUAAAAUGCUUCCCGAACACGUCCAAUCAAGAUAUCAACCGAAUCCGCUCAACGAU